rnacentral:rRNA from 1 species
GAGGACGAACAGCCACACUGGGACUGAGACACGGCCCAGACUCUACGGGAGGCAGCAGUGGGGAAUAUUGGACAAUGGGGGGAACCCUGAUCCAGCAAUGCCGCGUGUGUGAAGAAGGCUGAGGGUUGUAAAGCACUUUCAGUGGGGAGGAGGAUUUAUGGGUUAAGAGCUGAUAAAUUGGACGCUACCCACAGAAGAAGCACCGGCUAACUCCGUGCCAGCAGCCGCGGUAAUACGGAGGGUGCGAGCGUUAAUCGGAAUUACUGGGCGUAAAGGGUGCGUAGGUGGUUAAUUAAGUUAGGUGUAAAAUCCCUGGGCUUAACCUAGGAAUGAGAUUUAAUACUGAUUAACUGGAGUAUUGGAGAGGGUAGUGGAAUUUCCGGUGUAGCGGUGAAAUGCGUAGAGAUCGGAAGGAACACCAGUGGCGAAGGCGGCUACCUGGCCAGAUACUGACACUGAAGCACGAAAGCGUGGGGAGCAAACA